rnacentral:rRNA from 1 species
AUGCAGUUUUACGCGGGAUAUGGUUACCAUGCUAGUAAUUUUGAGCAAACGUACCGCUGCUAUCCAGCAUCUUUUUUUGACAAGCCACACCUGGAAGGUGGUGACAAAGUAAUAAUGCCGCCAUCUGCCCUUGAUCGUCUGGCUUCCCUGCACAUUGAGUAUCCUAUGCUAUUUGAACUGCACAAUGGUGUCACCGACAGGAUUUCACACUGUGGUGUAUUGGAGUUUGUAGCAGAAGAAGGCAUGAUCAUCAUGCCCUACUGGAUGAUGCAAAACAUGCUUCUUCAAGAGGGUGACAUUGUACGUGUCAAGAAUGCUACUCUUCCCAAGGGUACAUAUGUGAAGCUGCAGCCUCACACGACUGAUUUCCUGGACAUCUCGAAUCCCAAAGCCAUCUUGGAGAAAACUCUAAGAAACUUCUCUUGCUUAACCACGGGCGACAGCAUCAUGGUAGCUUACAACAACAAACAGUAUUAUAUUGAUAUUGUUGAAGCAAAACCUGCUUCUGCAGUUAGCAUUAUUGAGACAGACUGUGAGGUGGACUUUGCACCUCCUCUUGAUUACAAAGAACCUGAAAAACCACAGCGUCCCAUAGUUCCUGCAGGCAAGGCACCUGCUGAAGAUCAAGAGGCUAUCGUUGAAGAUGAACCAAAGUUCAAACCAUUCACUGGUUCAGGAAAACGGUUGGAUGGUAAGGGCCCAAAACAACCAGCACCUGGAGCUUCUUCGGCCACUGCGGCUGCACGUUCUGCGCCUUCAGACUCAAACAAAAGGGCAAAUCAGCAAACUGCAUCACCUUCAGGAGCCAGCACAUCCACGCGCCAGAAAACAGGAAAGCUUGUGUUUGGUUCAAGUGCAAGCAGCAAGAAAGAAGCAGAAGCACAGAAGGAGCCUGCUAAAGGGAGUGAGCCUCCGAAGAAGGAAGAGCCGAAGUUCAACGCGUUCACAGGAAAGAGCUACUCCUUGAAGCGUUAG